rnacentral:rRNA from 1 species
UACGUAAGGGGGCAAGCGUUUGUCCGGAAUCACUGGGCGUAAAGCGCACGUAGGCGGUUUAGUAAGUUGGGGGUGUAAGCUCCAGGCUUAACCUGGAAAUUGCCUCCAAAACUACUUUACUUGAGUAUUAGAGGGGAAGCUGGAAUUCACGGUGUAGCGGUGAAAUGCGUAGAUAUCGUAAGGAGACCAGUGGCGAAGGCGGGUCUCUGGACAGUUCCUGACG